GACGAACGCUGGCGGCGUGCCUAAUACAUGCAAGUCGAACGCCCAGUUUAUACCGUCUCUUGCUUCACCAUAGCCUGUGACUUGCGAACGAGUGAGUCACGCGUAUGUAAUCUUCCUUGGAGCAGGAGGUAACUAUUGUAAACGUUAUCUAAUACCCCAUAAUAUUAAUUAUUGCAUGGUAAUUAAUUGAAAGGUCCAAUUGCACCACUACCAUCUGGCUCUGCCUUGUAUUAGCUAGGAGGUGAGGUAACGGAUCAACUAUGCGAAGAUACAUAGCCUAGCUGGGAGGGUGAUCGGCCAAAACGGGACUUAGACACGGCCCAGAAUCCUACGGGAGGCAGCAAUAGGGAAAUUUCGGAAAUGGAGGGAAGUCCGGCCGAGCACAGCCGGGUGAGUGGAGAAGGUUCUCGGGUCGUAAAGGUCUGUUGUAAGGGAAGAAAGGGCGUGAGAGUGGAAAGUUCACGUUGUGACGGUAUCUUAACAGAAAGGAACGGCUAACUACGUG
rnacentral:rRNA from 1 species